rnacentral:tRNA from 2 species
GUAUCUAUAGCUCAGCAGGAUAGAGCGUCCGCCUCCUAAGCGGAAGGCCGGCGGUUCGAAUCCGCCUAGGUACA